UCAAAUCAUGCAUAAAACCCCCUUAAAACCUCUCAAAACUUACUCAAAACAUAAAAGGAGGUGAGGAUCUACUCUUACCUCUUGAAGAUCGAGAGGAGAGGCGAUCCAAACUUGGAGUUGUGAAGGAAAUGGCUCCGGGGUCUCCAAGUUUCCAAACUUCGAUCUUUGCUCAAAAAUCUUCAAAACCAAGUUAAAACUCAUAAAAAACAUGAAUGAUU
rnacentral:lncRNA from 1 species